AAGUAUCCUUUUCUUCUGCAGUGAACUUAAACUUUCCAAAGCUCUUGUACAAGUUAGUGUCCUGACAGAGAGUAACUUCAUGGAGUUCUUCUUGUAAAUUAGAGCAGUUGAGUGCUGAGGAAGAACAGAGUUAGCAGCCUAAGUGGGAAGCCUCUCGUUUUCAAGAAAGAUUGAUAUUUAUGGAUUUUGAAGAAACUAUUUGGAAAGUCAAAUAUCUAACAGCUGUAAGGAAGAAGGGAAGAAUUAGAGAUGAGGGUUAACUUUCAGCAAAAAACUGCAUGUCUCACAGUAGAAAAGCACAAAUAUUAUCAUUUCCUGAAUAUUUUCAUUGGAUAUUGCACACUAAAGCUGAAAAAGCAGAGCACCUUGAAGGGCUAAGAAACAAAAGAUGGCUCCAUCUUUAUACUGUACAGUGUUUGUCACACAAUCCCCAGAACAGAAAACUAAAUUAUACUGCUGGGUGAGCCUCAGUGGAGCGCUUGGUGUGCCAGCAACAUUCUCCUUCUCCCAGGCCCCACAGCAUUGGAUUGAGCAGGCAGCAGAGCAAGAAAGAAUGCAGAUGCAAUGAUCACUUUAUCUCUGCACUCCAGAAAUCUCCCUCAGCUCCAUCACAGCAAGCUGCAGAGCUAAACUGAGUUGCCCUGACAGAAGGAAGUCAGGCUACCUUCUUUGCUCUUUGUUGAGCAGGAUGUUUGUUCACACACUGUUCAUUUUUAUUAAUUUAUUUGUCUGUCUGACUGUUUGUUUGUUUGUUUAUUUAGUGAUGCACACAGAAUAACUAAUAACUAGUAACACAGAAUACAGAAACUGCGUACUCAAUUAUAUGUAACUGAAUAUAACCUUAUAGUGUAAAAUAUUUAUAAUGCCAUCUAUAUCCCUGACCUUAUCAUUGAAGACAUCCGAUAAUAUACACAAUACCACCAUAUAUCUGAUGCCUGAUACGUCAAAUUACAGUAAGAUCUUAUUGAUAAAACCAACUUCUGUGUAUAAGGCUGUGAAUGGACUGUAAAGCAAGGAGGACAGUGACAUUUUAAAUAGAACUGGAAGCAUCAAGGCUACUCAUGUAGAGUUCCCGUGACACAAACUGAAGAUGAAAUUUUUAUCAUACUUUAAUAAAGCUUUCAAAUAUGUAUACUUUAUAAAAUUA
rnacentral:lncRNA from 1 species